rnacentral:rRNA from 1 species
GAUGAACGCUGGCGGUAUGCUUAACACAUGCCAGUCGAACGGACUCUUCGGAGUUUGUGGCGGACGGGUGAGUAACGCGUGAGAAUCUGGCUUUGGGUUCGGGACAACUACUGGAAACGGUGGCUAAUACCGGAUGUGCCGAGAGGUAAAAGAGAAAUUGCCUGAAGAUGAGCCCGCGUCUGAUUAGCUAGUUGGUGUGGUAAAGGCACACCAAGGCAGCGAUCAGUAGCUGGUCUGAGAGGAUGACCAGCCACACUGGGACUGAGACACGGCCCAGACCACUACGGGAGGCAGCAGUGGGGAAUUUUCCGCAAUGGGCGAAAGCCUGACGGAGCAAUACCGCGUGAGGGAAGAAGGCUCUUGGGUUGUAAACCUCUUUUCUUAGGGAAGAACAAAAUGACGGUACCUAAGGAAUCAGCAUCGGCUAACUCCGUG